rnacentral:rRNA from 1 species
AUGGGCGAGAGCAGAGGAAGCAUCGCCUUCUUUGCGUGCUACAGGCCUCCGGUGCCCCUCGACAUAUUCUGCUGUCCAGCUCCAGCAUCAUCAAGGGAGGAGGAGCGGCACUUGACGGAUGGCGUCUCGUACAACUACAAUUGCCAACCCAUUCCAUCUGCGGCCCUCAAGUCGAUCGUCAAGCACCUAGAUCUGGCUCCUGAAGCCGUCGAAGAAGCCGCCAUCGAUUCGGGCCGUCUCACCGGCCUGGUCUUCGUCUCUGAAAGGCAACACCACCUCGAGACUCUUCAUAUAGGCCUGCGCUUCGAUGAUGGCGACGAAGUCUGGGUCUUCACCUUGGGGGACAUCUAUGGCGGCGACUUUUUCAGUGGUGCCCGUCUGGAGGACAGUGGCUGCAUCGCAGGAGGCUACGAGGUGGAUGGUCACACAGCUGACCAUUACCUCGUCUUCGUGUCCACGAAGGAGCCCGUGAAAGAACGCCGUAGCCCCUGGAAUGUCGUCUACAAAACUAAUCUCAGAACAGGCGAAACUGAGCGCCUCACUCCACCAGGGACGUCCGAUUUAAGCCCCUCUGUGUCACCAUCUGGGAAGAGGGUAGCAGUGGCUUCGUUCCAAGGAAAGAAAUGGGAUGGUGAAGUUAAAGACUUGCUGACAAGCAUUUACGUGAUGGACCUAGAGAGCACAUAUCUGGAGCGCGAGCGGGUGAUCGAGAACGCUGGCUGGCCAUCAUGGGGAAGCGAAACAGUACUAUUUUUCCACCAAAAGGUUGGGGAUAACUGGGGUGUAUUUCGGCACGACUUGAGCACCGGCGAGACCCUCCGUGUGACCCCGGAGGCAUUCGAUGCAGUGACUCCAGCAGCCAUCGAUGAGAGCAGAGUGGCUGUGGCAACCAUCCGCCAGAAGUCUGUGUUCACUGACGUCCGUGUUGAAGCGCAGUACCGUCACAUCGAGGUUUUUGACAUGGGUUUGCCGGAGGAGCCACUUCAAAUCACUCGGUGUACCAAGCCAAAAGGCGACCAUUACAACCCCUUUGUAAUGGAUGGUGGCAAGUACAUUGGCUACCAUCGUUGCAAAAGCGACCAUCUUGAGCAUGGAGAUGAUGUCCCGAGGCGGUUCGACAAGCUGCAGUCCCAUCAUGAAGAUAUUGGUCUGUUUAGGGUUGCCGGUGCAUUCCCGGCAUUUUCCAAAGAUGGCUCUAAGCUUGCAUUCGUCGAUAACGAGUUCAAAGCCGUGUGGCUGGCCGAUAGUGACGGAAUGCGUGUUGUCUUCGAAACGGAUGGUCCUGAUGGCGUCUUCUCACCGGUGUGGAACCAAAAGAAGGAUAUACUUUAUGUCUGUAUGGGACCGUCUUUCAAAGCGAACGAAAUAUUGGAGAUCUACGCCAUCCCUCACGUAUCGACUGGUGCACGAGAGCGGCGACUGCUCACGAAGGGAAAAUUCAAUAAUGCAUUCCCAUCCACCAAUUCAGACGGGACAAAACUUGUUUUCCGAUCGACAAGAAAUGGGGGAGACAAAAAGUACAAGAAUCUAUACAUGAUGGACGCAGAGAUCGGGGAGGACGGUGGUGAAGCGGAACGGAUAACAGAGGGUGAUUGGAUCGACACACACUGCCAGUGGUCGCCAGACAGGGACUGGAUCGUGUUCUCGUCAAACCGUGACAAGCCCGCGGACGCGCCGGAGCGCGACCAUGGUAUGGACCCAGGGUAUUUUGCUGUUUACCUGAUGAACGCAAGCGACCGCUCUGUGGUGAGGGUAAUCCGGAGCGGGUACGACUUGUCCGGGCACGUGAACCACCCGGUCUUCAGCCCGGACGGGCGGAGCAUCGUCGUGACGGCAGAUCUUGCUGCGGUGUCUGCUGACCCAAUGUCGCUGCCGCUCUUAUUGCACUCGCAGAGGCCCUACGGCGACAUCUUCACCGUUGAUAUCGACCCGGAUGACAUGGAGAAGAACCAGGAUGUGGAGGAGUUUGCCCGAGUCACGCAUAGCAGGUACGAGAACGCCACUCCUGACUGGACCGUGUUCUCGACUCAUGACCCGCAUGCGCAGUGGAACCUCCUGGUCAUGGAGGAGGAGUACACCCCAGCGUGCCCGUAUGCGCAUCAUGAUGGGGGUGAAAGCUGGCACAUGACAGGCCAGAUGUGCAUCCCCAAAAGGGUUUGUUGA